UACGUAGGUGGCAAGCGUUGUCCGGAUUUAUUGGGUUUAAAGGGUGCGUAGGCGGUCUAUUAAGUCAGUGCUGAAAUAUCCCGGCUUAACCGGGAGGGUGGCAUUGAUACUGAUGGACUUGAGUUAAAGUUGAGGUUGGCGGAAUUGGACGGUGUAGCGGUGAAAUGCUUAGAUAUCGUCAAGAACACCUAUUGCGAAGGCAGCUAACUAGCUAAACUGACGCUGAGGCACGAAAGUGUGGGGAUCAAACAGG
rnacentral:rRNA from 1 species